UUUUUUUUUUUUUUUUUUUUUUUUUUGUCCAUUGCAACUGAAGAUUAGAGCUUGGAAAAAUCAUUAAUCAGUGGUGACCAGAGGGAAUCAUGCAGCUCGUCAUAUCUGUGUCAUCACAGCUAUUGACAGAGCCACCACAAAAAUGGCACAACAAAUCUAAAUGAUACCAGGCAGGAGCUAACAAGAUGAAGGUCAUUAUAAGCCCGGUGCUUGAUUUGGGUUUAAAGCCACAGGCUGGGAGCCAUCCUCAGGACCCAUCUCGUUGCAGGUUGGAAGCAGUGAGGGAUUUCUGUCAUAUAUCUGUAGUUGCUUUAUUAAGUUUAGGCAACCGGGUGAGAUUCUACUCUGUCUAUUAUACAGAGAGUGUAACCAGAAUAAAUCAACGUGGUUAAAAAAAAAAAAAAUCUAAUAAAGUACUUUUUCAGCUGUGACUUGUAAGUGUCACCGUGAUAGAUGGCAGUGCAAUCCAUUAUGCAAAGACAAGGCUCUUAACAUGAAAUUUUAGAAUUCAAUUUUACGAUUUACAGAGAGGGCCCCCCUCAUAUUUACAGCGCAGCAGCCUGUUUGGAUCUGCUCUCAGUGUAAUUGAAACCAGGGCCAUGGGUCUCGGCUGCUCACUCUGCCACUUUUUAAACAGAAAGGAGAAAUAAGUACCCAUAAUGUUAAUAAUAAAGCUAAAAAGAUUGCUUUGCUGUUAAACCUUUUUUCCUGGAUCUCCCCUUGCUGGUGGCGAAGGGCUGCAUGUCCGUGCUGCUGGAGCUGGGAAUGGGAAUAUACUGGGGUUGGUUUUGGUGGGAUGAAUCCAGCAUCCUCCGUCCUACAGCAUCCACAUCCUUCAGUGGACACCUUUGAGCAUCUCUUUUUUAAAAUCACUCUUCUUGUCACCAUUACUAAAUAUGUGGUUAUUUGAACUCCCCUAUUAUACUGAAAGAUUCCAAGUUUUGUGGAAUCACAGUAACACAGAUUUUAAUUUUUUUUUUAAUUAUCUCUACGGUUCAACAAAAUUACUCAUGGCUGCAGAGUGAGUUUCAAACAGCUUCUGGUUGACAGGAGCCCUGUGUUGCUCUCCCAGGCAUCGUGCAGCACGCACAAUGCGGUGCCCCCAGGACCGUCCCACCAAAGGGAAUCCUUCUGUGUGUCUAUGCUGCUUUCCUCUAAUUAGUGUGAAACUUGGUGUUCCUGGCAAAGUACUGCAUGGCUCACCUCUUAACUCCCAUUCCAGGGGCUCGUGCCUUCUGAUCAGGGGAGCACUGAAAACCAUGAGUGAAAAUUAACUAUUAUAUAUGUAUAUAUAUACACAUAUAUAUGUGUGUAUUUUUUUUUCCUCUGAGUUUAAAACUGCUCAAGCAAACAACAGAACUUUCCAACAACUAAUACAACUUCUGGACAAUUCCUGGAUAUUACUGAAAUAACCAAUCAAAGAUACACGCCUUCCUAUUAAAAAAGGUUAAUUUUGUGCAAGGACUUCUAAUGCAGAUGCAUCUGAGAGGACGACUCUGUGUCAGUGCUGCAUCUACAAGCCCAGUGCUGGAGACUCUUGUCAUUACCCUGUGUAAUAAUUUUCCUGAAGUCUGGAACUAAUUUUUAGAGAAAUUUUUUUUUCUCAACACUUUGCGUUUCUAAUGCUGUAUUCUUGACUGUGUAAAUACAACCAGGCUGUAAAUAAGUGCAGAUGUAGAUACCUUCUAGAAAAAAAAAGAAGAAGAAGAAGAAGAAAAGAAAAAAAAAAAACACCAACAAAAUUGAGCAGGCAGAAGUGACCGUGUGUAGCCUUCGGUGACAAAUAAAAGACUAUUUUGUGUU
ensembl:lncRNA